UUAAAAUAAAAUUAUUUUAGCAUGGACCACAGACAGCCCCAUAGCUGAAUCGAGGCUGUUUCACGGAAGAACUACACCUCCCAUGGUGCAUUGCAGCGGUAAACGGAACCACAUCCUGAGUUCAGAGUUCAGCGUCCUUCCAUGUGCGGCCAUUGUUAAUAUGAAAAUACCUUUGUCGUUACUUUUGCGUGUUUAUUUAUCUUCGUGUGUCGAACAUGUCAGUGAACGCAACAACGCACGAGCUGACCCUGCUGAUCUACCGCUAUUUGAAGGAGCAUGGUUUCCACUCAGCUGCAGAUGAGCUACAGAGGCACAGCCCACAGGAAGAGACAACAAUAUCUGCAUCAUUAUUGGACAUCUACACUUCAUGGUUAAAUGACUCAAAAAAGAAAAGGCAGCCGGGCUCAGCUAAGGCCACACCAAAGAAAAGGAAGGACAAACCUGCAAACAAAGCAGAGACACAAAAAAAGAAGAAUGUGCAAGCGAAAAGUAAAAGUGAAGGUAGAUCGAUAAAUGUCAUCAAGGCGAAGAAAUCAAAGACCCAAACAAAAGACAUAGUUGUGAAUGCUGGAGAAUCUGACUCUGACAGCAGUCUGGAUGAAGAUAAAUGGAGGAAACUGCUCCUACAGAUGACAGAGUCUGACAUGGCCAAGAUGGACACCAUCAACGCACUGGACUCUACACCUCCACCCAUAAAAAAGAGAGUGAGGAAACCCCGGGCCAAGCCUCCCGCAAAAACCAAAACUCCCAUUGAACAGAACACAGUUGGACAGAAUAAAAAGGUGGAGGAGAAAGCCAUGACAGAAACAUCAACAAAGAAUAGUAAACCCAAGAGGAGCAGGCCAAAAAAGACUGCACCUGUGACCUCCCCUGCCACCACGAGCCAAGAACAAAACAUCAAGGCUGUAGAAGACAGACCAGCGACAUCCACUCUCUCCCCGUCAAAACCGAAACCUAAGAAGGAGAAAGGGAAAGAUGUAAAUCCCAGAGAAGAAAAAACUGACGAGACAAUGUCUGAGCCCAAGAAGAAGAAGAAGAAAAAGAUGGCUGAAGACGAGGUGGGAGAGAAUACAAAUGUGGCUGGUGGAGAUCGAAAAGACGGUAAAGAAGAGAAAAAAGAUAACGUCACAGAGCAAGAAUUUGCUGAUAAACCUGCAAAGGAAAAGAAAAAGCCAAAAGAAACAAAGGGAGAUAUCAAAAUGAGCCAGCCUGAAGAAGAAAUCAUACAGAAGGAUAGUGAGUAUUUUGAUAAUGCAGGACUUUCAGAACUAAGAAAGAAAUCAAAGAAGAACAAUGAGAAAACUGAUAGUGGUGAAAAUUCAGAGCAGGUAGCUGAACACGUAAAAGAAAAUAAAGAGCAGCUAGUUGAAGAAAUUAAAAAGACAGCUGGUAGUGAGGAAAAAUCAGAGCAAAAAGUAAAAGAAGACGGAGAAUAUUCAGAGCAGAUACCUGAAGGAAAGAAGGCAAAGAAGAAGAGAAAGGAGAUUGCUAAUGGUGAGGAAAAUUCAGAGCACAGUGUUCACGAAAAAAAAGCAAAGAAGAAGAAAAGGGAGAAUCACAAUGAAGAAAAUUCAGAGCAGAUACCUAAAGCAAAGAAGAAGAAAAGGGAGAAUCACAAUGAAGAAAAUUCAGAGCAGAUACCUAAAGCAAAGAAGAAGAAAAGGGAGAAUCCUGAUGAAGAAAAUGCAGAGCAGAUAUUUAAAGAAAAGAAAAAGAAAAGAAAGCUCGAAGCUGAUCUUGACGAGGAGAUGACGGAGCCGGUAGUUGAAGAAAAUACAACCAUGACAAGGAAAUCACAGAGCACUGACACAGAGGAAACGCCAGAGCAGAUUACUGAAGUGAAGAAGAAAAAGAAGGACUCAUCGUUGAAAAAUAAUGACACAGAGCCACUUCUACCCAACCCCGAGACACCAAGUCCUCCAACAGAGAAGAAGAAAAAGAAAAUCAAGUUGAAAUCAGCUGAGGUCCCAGAAACACCUGCAGAUUCUGUCCAAGACGGCGAACCAACACAAACACCCUCAAGUGACACCACCCUCAAAAAGAAAAAGAAAUCCUCCAAGAGUCAUGAAGACGUUUGAUUCUUCAUCCCUGCAGAAGGAUGGCAACACAUCCUGUCCGUCUUAUUUCUAAUCAUAUUUUGAUAGUUACAAGAUCACUUAAAACUGUAAAGACAAAAUUAGUUUUCUAUUUUGGUACAUUUCUUAUCUGUUUUCUGUUUACCCACCGAGUGUGGCGUCCUAUGCUGUAUAUUGUUUAGUUGAAUCUGAUAUUGCCAUUUUAAUGGCAUGAAUAUGUAAAAGGGAUUUAUAACUGAUUGUUUCAUGGAAUGGAUGCUCCCUCAUUGAUUGAACAGAAACAUGUCUCUUAAGCACAUUUCCAUUCAGUCUCAGGUCAUUUUACACACACAUAUUAAUUUGUUCUAAAUAUAUACCGACUAGCUCAAUACUUGGGGAGAGAAAAAAAAAAUGCAUCACAACAUUUUUUUUUUAUUAAAAAAUAAUACAUGGGAAACUGUUUUAACAGCCUAUUUUGGUAUUGUGUUAAAUACCUAUGUUUGUGAAAAUCAUAUUUGUUUUUUAACAACAAUUUUAUAUAUUUGGUAAAGCUUUUAUAUAUGCAUUGUACAUUAUGCCUUUAAUACAAAUUAAACUCCAGGUUUCUUUUUAAAUG
rnacentral:lncRNA from 1 species